GCCAUAGUUCAGUGGUAGAGCAUCAGCUUUAUAUGCCGAAGGUCCCAAGUUCAAUCUCCAGUAUCUCUAGGUAGGACU